UACAGCAUAAAUAGAAUCCCAAAGGCAAGUGGAUCUUCUCACUGAUGCUGAGUAUGUGUACUAGUGUCAAGGCACUUGCACAACUUUCACAGGCUAGCACCAGAGGGCUUUGAGAUACUUGGUGUGGUAUAUCUCAGUGCCUCGUUGAAAAAAGUUCUGAUUUUCUGUAAAAAUUUACACCUAAAUGCUUCAAUAUUAAGUGGGACUUGUGACAGGUUUGCAGAUAUGCUAUCGUUGGGCAGGUUAUGUCAGUUGUGAUGGAAAGGAAGUGAUGAAAUAUUGUUACAGUAUGGUAGAGGUUACAUUUACCUACUUCAAAUGUCCUGUUUAGUUUAUAGCAAAAUCAUGCCAAGUAAGUUUCUUUAGUCUUACUUUUCUGCUUACACAAAGAGGCACUUGGUCCUUCAUUACACCAUUUGGACAGCAGCAUGCGUUUUUGCUGAAUUUCAGAGACAGAGCGUUUUUCUACAGCAAUUUACACUCCUACAAUUAUAGCGUUCUGGUGCAGAUAUGGUGUCAGCCCCUCCUCCUUGACCUCUGCCCUUUGAGAAGCGGGCGAAAGUGUGUUUCCUGAUUAACGACUGGCUGAGGUACAUGGCUCCAGCUCCAGCGCCUUGUCCUCCCAAACUGAGGUCACUGCGGAGAGCGACGGCAUUAGAGUGAGGAGGAGGGUCCUUACUCUAUGUGCAAGAAUAUGCUGUGGAAGUUGCAAAGGGCAGAGUCUCUAGGAAAUCUACUCUUUCUUUGAAAAAAUGUCACGGGAGAGAUAGGAGAUUGGCACCACAAAGAGCCUAAAAUAGCACGGGCUGCUACGCGUUGUCAGACAAGAUUUGGGCUGAGACAUUGACUUUUGUUCUGCAAAGUAUUGGCCCCUGAAAGGGAGAUGGGAGGUGUAAAAAUUGUGAUUUCUCCUCUUCCCCUGGUUAUGUGCAAUACAUUACCCUGCUGAUAA